GCCAAAUUCGUUUUAGUAUGAAUAUGAUAAAAAUCAAAGGAUGGAUACCGUGUCAUUUAAUUGUCCUUCAACUUUUUGCAAAAACUGUUUGUAGUGGAUUAUGUGGAGACAAAUGCUGUUAUAACUUUUACCGAAGUCCAGGCGGAGAUUGUCUUGGUGAGUACAAUUAAAUCCUAUUAGUGUUUAUAUCCCUUACUAUUAUCGA